GUUCAUUUGCAGUGCUUGUCAAUUGCUACUAUUUACUCUAGAAUUAUCAGUCAGGCACCUGGUCAUUUCCAUGGGAGACUUUCAAAAGUACAUAAAGUCUUUUCUCCAACCAGUUGGUUUCAUCAGACAUGAAUCUUCCAAUCUCCUGUGUGGUGAAUAGAAAUCUAGCUAUCAGUGCCCUGGUACUGUGAGGGACAGAGAGAGUGGGGGGUGGUUCUCACUAUUCAGUACAUGGUACGUAGACCUUACCUAACCCUCCUUUUUCAGUUUUACUUCCAUCUUCUACCAAACCUGGUAUCAUCCAGCCUGAAGACUCUCCCGCUCCAUUUCUCCAGAAAUUAAACCUCUAGUUGCCAGUUGGGUCGGUAAUGGUGUUGGCCCCUGCCUGCACAGGAGAGAACAAAAAUUUGGAAGGUCCAACCAUAGUCUUUUUUUCAGCCCCACCCUAUACCGCUUCCUACAGAGGGAAGUUCAGUUUCUGAGCCUUUGCAGGAUUUUAUAGCAGGGAUGCAUUUGCUUUUUGAUGGUUUGCACAGCAAAGCAAACUUUCCUGCUACUCUGUUAACUUUGUUACCACUCAUCCAUCUGCCUUCUGUCUUCCAACAUUUUGUUGCUAGCUCUUGUCUGCUGUUACUUCUGUCUUCUUUAUCCUUCAGGGCUUUAAUUUAAAAAAUAUAUUCCUUUUCAGUCAUUUUAGAGAGGCUAAGGGAUGGAGGUGUGAUAAAUGCAUGCAUUCGACAAAGACCGCCUUCUGAUUUUCUCAUAUGAAUUACUGAAAAGUAGGUAUAGCAGACGCUUUUGAUACCCUGCCACAUCUCCCCUUGACUCACUUUUGCAGGUGCAGGAACCAGCAUCUUCUAAGCCAUGCUAACAACUUCCCGCUCAAGCUCUUGCCUCAUCCUGCUUCUCUGGCUGAGGAUUUUCUCCAGAACCACAGGAGUUUGUUCACCUAAGAAAUGUUUGCCUUUGUAAACUGGAGCUACCAUGUAAAAAGACCAACUACCCUAAGGCCACCAUGCUGUAAAAAAAACCAAGGCACAUGAAAAGCAAGGACUGGUUGCUUUAGUAGGAUACUCAUACUGGGACCUUGAUCAUCUUCACAUUCUGUACAUCACAGUGUCCCAUCGUAUUAAUGAGAGCAUGAUAAUUGGACUUAACUUUUAGGAAGGAGCAAGUAUGCUGGUUGCUGGAGUAAAAUAAUUCAUUCCAGAGGUUGGGAGAUAAACCCUAUCCAUUUCUGAAGCCUGCCACAUCAGGGAAGGCUUUAGGGGCCCAAAGGUCUAGGACAUCUCAUCUAAAAGGAUGCACUGCACUUAUUACCACCAAGAAAGAGGCACAGCACUUGGUGAGCUACUUUGGAUUUUUGAGGUAAAAACUACUACCCUUGCAAAUACCACUCUGGCCUGCUUAUUAGAAGAUUGCUGGUUUUGAAAGGACCUGAGAGAGUAUUUAAAUAACCUUUUAAAGAUUCAGCAUAGCCAUCAGCCUAGGGAUGACACCUCACAUGAUUGGGACACUGUUCUCAAGGAUGUGGCAUAUAUGUUAAAACAAUGAUCUCUAUAUGUAGUCAUUAUGUGUGCCAUGUUUCCAAUAUCUACAAUACACAGGAGUGGUGGCUAAAGGAUCCAAGUAGGGAUGGCUCCAUGCACUGAACUCCCAGUGACCCAUUAGUGAAAAUUUGUGGUUCUAAUCCUCGUAAAUUUAGGCUCUUCCUAAUCAAAGACCUUGAUCUCAGGAAAUGUGUGUAGAGAGGGGGACACUUCCAAUAAGGAUAUUGUCAUGGUUUCACUGCAUUUAAAUCAUUGACUGCCACUGGAUGACCUUGGGAUCCUCAUGUUGAUAGAUCAACAGGCAAAAUAGGAAUUACUAAACUAGCGGGGAUACUUGACUAUGAAUAUAUUGAGGAGUUGGAGUUGCUGCUAUACAAGGGGGGCAGGGAGGAAGAUGUCUGGGACUUGGGGGAUUCACUGUGGUACCACUUAGUGCUUUUAUGCCCGGUGAUAACAGUAGAAGGGCAAUUGAGGCAACCAGAGCCUGAGAGUAGCAAGGAAGCCAGGCCUCAAUUACUUAGAAAUAAAGGUCUGGUCAUCCCACUGAGGAAGCAACUGAGACUAGUCACUGCUAGCUAGGGGUAAGGGAAAUCUAGAAGAGGUGGAAGAGGAGAGAGAUGAUGGGUAUUGCACAUGGCCCUGGGACCAGGUACAGCAGUGAAGACUGUGCAGUGUCCCACUACUUCUGUUAUUUUCAGUCUUUUCUUUUUUUGGAGAUUGUAGACAGGCAUAACCUUGAAAGUCGGUAAUACUGUAAACUUGAGGUAGGUAUAAGAGGGCCUAAUCAGAGCAAGGAGUGUGAAUGUGGUGAUCACCACUACCAUGCAGCUCAUGUCCCUGGUCCACCUCUUUGUCCCCCUGCAGCAGUAGCAAACAUUUCCAUGCACUGGACAGCCUUCUCCCUGGAGUGUCAUAACUCUCUGCUUCUCUGCCUGAGGCUCCUCUCAGCCCACACUUAGGAUAGCCUGGAAGUAGCGGGAUUAAUGCCUUCAAAGACAAACGUUAAGCACUGAGGUUUCAGAGUCAGGAGACAAAUGCUCCAACUCCUCCACUCUUCCACGUUGAUUACUUCUGAGACGUUCUACACAGUUUCUCAGAGGACCUCCAGUGGAGGUGAGCCCCAUUUGCCCAAAGUGGUAGCUUGUUCAUUAAUGCAUGCAUUUUUUACUUUUCUCUUUUCUUUCUCUUCUUUUGCCCACUCCAUCCCACGAGCCCCUGAGAUCGUCAAACCAUAUGCAGCCCAGUCCUUAUCUCAAGGUCUGCUCUUUGGGAAGCCUAAACGAAGAUGUCAUCGAUUUUUAAGGAAUAUAUGCUCCCUUACUGGGAUUUUUCCCACCUGCUGGGAAACUCAGCUCAACCCCCAGCUCAGAUACUGCUUACCUGUGAUCCACUGCUGGCCUGGCCACAGAUUCCAGAAGCAGUGACAGAGAAAAGCAGAGGAGUGUCACGGUGAUGUAAUAUGAGAAAGACUUGGUCAGCCACCACUGACUCUGACAAUGGAAGGUACCCAGGAGCCAAGGAAAGCAGGCAGCCUCUAGGAGCUGGAAAAGGCAAGGAAACUCAUUUUCCCCUGGAAUCUCCAAAAAGGAACUCAGCCCUGCAGAAGCUUGAUGAUAACCCGUGACGGGAGAAUGGAAUGAGAUGGUCAGCACUUGACAUCUACAGGGAAAUGUCCCACUAAAGAACUUGAUAUCAGCAACGAAGGGAAAUGAGAUUGUCCUCCAUGAGCUAAACAACAAAAUCGAUAUAUAUUGUAUGGAGCAGAGAUGUGCAAAGUCAUCAUGAUGAACAUAGUAAUCUGAUCGAAGGAGGAGGAACUAAUCAGACUCAGGACUGCCUGUCAACUGCUGGACCUCCUGUUUCAAGAGAUGAGCCAUGGAGUCAGGGGCGCUGCUCAUGCAUGGCAUGCUCUUUUGCUUUCUUUGAUCAGCCCGUCCAGCACUGGAGUUCUUGAGCCUCACAUCUUCAAAUCUAGAAAAUCUGCUGUCUUGGAUGGAGUAGAUUUCAGACCCAUGCUAAGCUGAACUCUGGAUACACCCUGUAUCACUCAUUCCUAAAACAGGUGGAAGCUAUUCCAAGGAACACUGGUGUCGGCUGAAGUUGACUGUGCAUGUCUAGACUCUACUACCAGCUUCUAGACCCAUAGUUUCAGCAGAAUGAACUCAGAUCAUCACAAGCUGGCGUGGAAAGGCUAUGUGACUCUUACUUAAAGAGAAAGAACCUCGACAGGGAUGGCAGAAAAUCUUAGCACUAUAAGCAUUGAAGAGCAAGAAAAAGAACCACUCCACCUCCAUUCCAGCCCUAGUCCACAGAUUAUAAGGCGCAGUAAAACCUGCCGAAGAAAUUGAUGCUGCAGAGGUAGAAGAAAAAUGAAUUUCAAACCUUCUGCCAAAUGUCCUCAGAGAUAGAUCACACUUUUGUUUAGCAAGAUACCAUUGAUAUUCAAAAAUAAAUCCAGUCUGUUUGGAAAACCCUUGAGAGUUAAAUUGGUUAAUGUAUUUAUGUAGUGAGGUAGGGAAAUACAGGUAGCACACUCUGGAAGAGGGCAGAGGGGGCAGAAAAAAGAAAAGACCUCUGGGUAAAGAAAGAGAGCAAGCAACAUGGCAGCAGGCCAAGACCUGAGGACAAAGACAACCAGUGUGAGAUUUCCCCAGAUUCUCUACAGUACACGGUACUAAAA